rnacentral:tRNA from 1 species
GGAGCUGUGGCCGAGUGGUCUAAGGUGCUGGGUUUAGGCUCCAGUCAUUUCGAUGGUAUGGGUUUGAAUACCACCUGGUUCCA